UACGAAGGGGGCUAGCGUUGCUCGGAAUCACUGGGCGUAAAGCGCACGUAGGCGGAUCUUUAAGUCAGGGGUGAAAUCCUGGAGCUCAACUCCAGAACUGCCUUUGAUACUGGGGAUCUCGAGUCCGGGAGAGGUGAGUGGAACUGCGAGUGUAGAGGUGAAAUUCGUAGAUAUUCGCAAGAACACCAGUGGCGAAGGCGGCUCACUGGCCCGGUACUGACGCUGAGGUGCGAAAGCGUGGGGAGCAAACAG
rnacentral:rRNA from 1 species